GACGAACGCUGGCGGCGUGCUUAACACAUGCAAGUCGAACGGAAAGGCCCUGCUUUUGUGGGGUGCUCGAGUGGCGAACGGGCGAGUAACACGUGAGUAACCUGCCCUUGACUUUGGGAUAACUUCAGGAAACUGGGGCUAAUACCGGAUAGGAGCUCCUGCUGCAUGGUGGGGGUUGGAAAGUUUCGGCGGUUGGGGAUGGACUCGCGGCUUAUCAGCUUGUUGGUGGGGUAGUGGCUUACCAAGGCUUUGACGGGUAGCCGGCCUGAGAGGGUGACCGGCCACAUUGGGACUGAGAUACGGCCCAGACUCCUACGGGAGGCAGCAGUGGGGAAUAUUGCACAAUGGGCGGAGGCCUGAUGCAGCAACGCCGCGUGCGGGAUGACGGCCUUCGGGUUGUAAACCGCUUUCGCCUGUGACGAAGCGUGAGUGACGGUAAUGGGUAAAGAAGCACCGGCUAACUACGUG
rnacentral:rRNA from 1 species